UACGAAGGGGGCUAGCGUUGUUCGGAUUUACUGGGCGUAAAGCGCACGUAGGCGGGUCGUUAAGUCGGGGGGGAAAUCCUGGAGCUCAACUCCAGAACUGCCUUCGAUACUGGCGACCUAGAGUCCGGAAGAGGUGAGUGGAACUCCUAGUGUAGAGGUGGAAUUCGUAGAUAUUCGGAAGAACACCAGUGGCGAAGGCGGCUCACUGGCCCGGUACUGACGCUGAGGUGCGAAAGCGUGGGGAGCAAACAGG
rnacentral:rRNA from 1 species